GUAGCUCAAUUGGAUAGAGCAUCUGACUACGAAUCAGAAGGUUGUAGGUUCAAGUCCUGUC
rnacentral:tRNA from 1 species